rnacentral:rRNA from 1 species
GACGAACGCUGGCGGCGUGCUUAAUACAUGCAAGUCGAACGGAAAGGCCCUGCUUUUGUUGGGUGCUCGAGUGGCGAACAGGUGAGUAACACGUGAGUAACCUGCCCUUGACUGUGUGAUAACUUCAGGAAACUGGGGCUAAUACCGGAUAGGAGCUCCUGCUGCAUGUUGGUGGUUGGAAAGUUUCGGCGGUUGGGGAUGGACUCGCGGCUUAUCAGCUUGUUGGUGUGGUAGUGGCUUACCAAGGCUUUGACGGGUAGCCGGCCUGAGAGGGUGACCGGCCACAUUGGGACUGAGAUACGGCCCAGACUCCUACGGGAGGCAGCAGUGGAGAAUAUUGCACAAUAGGCGGAAGCCGGAUACAGCAACGCCGCGUGCGGAAUGACGGCCUUCGGGGUGUAAACCGCUUUAGCCUGUGAAGAAGACUGAGUGACGGUAAUGGGUAAAGAAGCAACGGCUAACUACGUG